rnacentral:lncRNA from 1 species
UCGGCCGGAGCAAAACUACAACUCUAGAGUCUUAGGGUUGAUCGUAUCUUUUGAUUAUCUUUCGAUAUAUUUGUCUUUAAAUUUGUUAAUCGUUAUUGCGACUUGCUAUUCAUUGUGAAGUUUAAUUUAUUUUUGCGAAUUUAGCCGUAGACUGAGCUACGAUUCGUACGACCAAGUCUACGCCCAGAGUGGCUAGCGAUAGGGUUAGUCUAAUUUACG